CCAACUAAUUGAAAGGCAGCAAGGAGAAUCUUCUUGCCCCACAUUAUGUCAAUUUUAGGAACUAUUGCCAGGAGAGUGAAGUCAUAAAUAAACACUGCUUCCAGGGGAAGAAGAUCCAGAGGUUCCUAGAUGUGGGGAGAUGACUUGCAUGCUGGUCAGACGUACCCUGAAGAGCGGCUACUGUGCUGUGCAAGGAAAAUGGUAGCACAGUGCUGAAAUCUUUGCCUGUACUUAUGUGCUGAAUGAUAUUGCUUAGAUUUUCUUCUAGAGAUUUUAUAGUUUUGGGUUUUACAUUUAAGUUUUUAAUCCACCUUGAGUUAAUUUUUGUAUAAGGCAUAAGGAAGGGGUCCAGUUUCAAUUUUCUGCAUGUGGCUAGCCAGUUUCCCCAGCGCCAGGUAUUAAAUAGGGAAUUUUUUCCCCAUUGCUUGUUUUUGUCAGGUUUGCCGAAUAUCAGUUGGUUGUAGAUGUGUGGUCUUAUUCCUGAGAUCUCUACUCUGUUCCAUUGGUUGAUGUGUCUGUUUUUGUACCAGUACCAUGCUGUUUUGGUUACUGUAGCCUUAUAGUAUAGAUUGAAAUCAGGUAGCGUGAUGCCUCCAGCCUUGUUCUUUUUGCUUAGGAUUGUCUUGGCUAUACGGGCUCUUUUUUGAUUCCAUAUGAAAUUUAAAGUAGUUUUUUUCUAAUUACGUGAAGAAUGUUAAUGGUAGUUUAAUGGGAAUAGCAUUGAAUCUAUAAAUUACUUUGGGCAGUAUAGCCAUUUUCACGAUAUUGAUUCUUCCUAUCCAUGAGCAAGGAAUGUUUUUCCAUCUGCUCGUGUCCUCCCUGAUUUCCUUGAGCAGUGGUUUGUAGUUCUCCUGUGGUUCUGGAAUAGCCAAGGAAGCCUGUUGUAAUGAGCGCUGAAGUUGCUUAUCAGCUUAAGAAUCUUUUAGGCUGAAGUGAUGGUGUUCUAUAGGUGUAGGAUCAUGUCAUCUACAAACAGAAACAGUUUGACUUCCUUUCUUCCUAUUUGAAUACCUUUAUGUCUUUCUCUUGCCUGAUUGCCCUGGCCAGAACUUCCAAUACUAUGUUGAAUAGGAGUGAUCAGAGAGGGCAUACUUGCCUUGUGCAGGUUUUCAAGAGGAAUGCUUUCAGCUUUUGCCCAUUUAGUAUGAUACUGGCUGUGGGUUUGUCAUAAAUGGUUCUGAUUAUUUUGAGGUAUGUUCCAUCAAUACCUAGUUUAUUGAGUGUUUUUAACAUGAAGGGAUGUUGAAUUUUAUCAAAGGCCUUUUCUGUGUCUAUUGAGAGAAUCAUGUGUUUUUUGUCUUUAGUUCUGUUUAUGUGAUGAAUUGCUUAUUGAUUUGCAUAUGUUGAACCAGCCUUGCAUCCCAGGAAUGAAGCCGACUUGAUUGUGGUGGAUAAGCUUUAUGAUGUGCUGGCUGGAUUCAGCUUGCCAGUAUUUUACUGAGGAUUUUGCAUUUUUGUUCAUCAGGGAUUUUGACCUGAAGGUUUCUUUUUUUUUUUUGUAUCUUUGCUAGGUUUUGGUAUCAGGAUGAUGCUGGCUUCAUAAAAUGAGUUAGGGAGGAGUUCCCCUUUUUCAAUUGUUUGGACUAGUUUCUGAAGAAAUGGUACCAGCUUUUCUUUGUACUUCUGGUAGAAUUUAGCUGCAAAUUCGUCUGGUCCUGGGCUUUUUUUGGUUGAUAGGAUUUGUUUUUGCCUCAGUUUUAGAACUUGUUAUUGGUCUAUUCAGGGAUUCAACUUCUUCCUGGUUUAGUCUUGGGAGGCUGUAUGUAUCCAGGAAUUUAUCCAUUUCUUCUAGAUCUUCUAGUUUAUUUGCAUAGAGGUGUUUAUAGUAUUUUCUGAUGGUUGUUUGUAUUUCUGUGGGGUCAGUGGUAAUAUCCCCUUUAUCAAUUUUUAUUGUGUCUAUUUGAUUCUUUUCUCUUUAUUAUUCUAGCCAGUGGUCUAUGUAUUUUAUUAAUUUUUUUUUCAAAAAACCAGCUCCUGGAUUCACUGAUUUUUUUGAAGGGUUUUUUGUGUCUCUAUCUUCUUCAGUUUUGCGCUGAGCUUGAUUAUUUCUUGUCUUCUGCUAGCUUUGGCGUUUGUUUGUGCUU
rnacentral:lncRNA from 1 species